CCUACUGGAGGCAGCAGUGGGGAAUAUUGGACAAUGGGCGAAAGCCUGAUCCAGCAAUGCCGCGUGAGUGAUGAAGGCCUUCGGGUCGUAAAGCUCUUUUACCAGGGAUGAUAAUGACAGUACCUGGAGAAUAAGCUCCGGCUAACUCCGUGCCAGCAGCCGCGGUAAUACGGAGGGAGCUAGCGUUGUUCGGAAUUACUGGGCGUAAAGAGUACGUAGGCGGUUAUUCAAGUCAGAGGUGAAAGCCCGGGGCUCAACCCCGGAACUGCCUUUGAAACUAGAUAACUAGAGUCUUGGAGAGGUUAGUGGAAUUCCGAGUGUAGAGGUGAAAUUCGUAGAUAUUCGGAAGAACACCAGUGGCGAAGGCGACUAACUGGACAAGUACUGACGCUGAGGUACGAAAGCGUGGGGAGCAAACAGGAUUAGAUACCCUGGUAGUCCACGCCGUAAACGAUGAUAACUAGUUGUUCGGUCACUUGGUGACUGAGUGACGCAGCUAACGCAUUAAGUUAUCCGCCUGGGGAGUACGGUCGCAAGAUUAAAACUUAAAGGAAUUGACGG
rnacentral:rRNA from 1 species